UACGUAGGGGGCGAGCGUUGUCCGGAUUUAUUGGGCGUAAAGAGUGCGUAGGCGGCUUUGUAAGUCUGCUGUGAAAACUCGAGGCUUAACCUCGAGCUGUCGGCGGAAACCAGCUGGCUAGAGUCCGGAAGAGGAGAAUGGAAUUCCCGGUGUAGCGGUGAAAUGCGCAGAUAUCGGGAAGAACACCCGUGGCGAAGGCGGUUCUCUGGGACGGUACUGACGCUGAGACGCGAAAGCGUGGGGAGCGAACAGG
rnacentral:rRNA from 1 species